rnacentral:rRNA from 1 species
AGUAAAAGUCGUAACAAGGUUUCCGUAGGUGAACCUGCGGAAGGAUCAUUACCUAGAGUUUGUAGACUUCGGUCUGCUACCUCUUACCCAUGUCUUUUGAGUACCUUCGUUUCCUCGGCGGGUCCGCCCGCCGGUUGGACAACAUUCAAACCCUUUGCAGUUGCAAUCAGCGUCUGAAAAAACAUAAUAGUUACAACUUUCAACAAUGGAUCUCUUGGUUCUGGCAUCGAUGAAGAACGCAGCGAAAUGCGAUAAGUAGUGUGAAUUGCAGAAUUCAGUGAAUCAUCGAAUCUUUGAACGCACAUUGCGCCCCUUGGUAUUCCAUGGGGCAUGCCUGUUCGAGCGUCAUUUGUACCUUCAAGCUCUGCUUGGUGUUGGGUGUUUUGUCUCGCCUCUGCGUGUAGACUCGCCUUAAAACAAUUGGCAGCCGGCGUAUUGAUUUCGGAGCGCAGUACAUCUCGCGCUUUGCACUCAUAACGACGACGUCCAAAAGUACAUUUUUACACUCUUGACCUCGGAUCAGGUAGGGAUACCCGCUGAACUUAAGCAUAUCAAUAAGCGGAGGAAAAGAAACCAACAGGGAUUGCCUCAGUAACG